rnacentral:rRNA from 1 species
UACGUAGGGGGCAAGCGUUGUCCGGAUUUAUUGGGCGUAAAGGGCGCGUAGGCGGCCUUUCAAGUGACGGGUGAAAUCCCUCGGCUUAACCGAGGAACUGCCUGUCAGACUGGGAGGCUUGAGACCGGGAGAGGUGAGUGGAAUUCCCAGUGUAGCGGUGAAAUGCGUAGAUAUUGGGAGGAACACCAGUGGCGAAGGCGGCUCACUGGACCGGAACUGACGCUGAGGCGCGAAAGCGUGGGGAGCAAACAGG